rnacentral:rRNA from 1 species
AAAUAUUUCAAUUUUCUUUUACAAUACUAUUAAACUAUCAUUAAAAUUAUUUUUUCUUUAUAAAAUACUUAAACAUAAACUUUUAUAAUUAUUUUUAAUAAUUUAAAAUAUAAAAAAUAAAAUAUGAAUAAAUAAAAUUUAAUCAAUUUAUAUUGAUUUGCACAAAAAUCUUUUCAAUGUAAAUGAAAUACUUUACUAAAUAAGCUUUAAAUUGCAUUCUAGAUACACCUUCCGGUACAUCUACUAUGUUACGACUUAUCUUAUUUUAAUAAUAAGAGUGACGGGCGAUGUGUACAUAUUUUAGAGCUAAAAUCAAAUUAUUAAUCUAUAUAAUUUUACUAUCAAAUCCACUUUCAAUACAUUUUUCAAAUUUAUAUCCAUUUAAAUAAAUUUAUUGUAACCCAUUUCUACUUAAAUAUUAGCUACACCUUGAUCUGAUAUAUUAUUUAUUAAAUAUUAUGAAAAUUAUCUUUCUUAUAAAAUAUUCUAAUAACGACGGUAUAUAAACUGAAAACAAACUUAAGUAAGGUCCAUCGUGGAUUAUCGAUUACAGAACAGGUUCCUCUGAAUAGACUAAAAUACCGCCAAAUUUUUUAAGUUUCAAGAACAUAACUA